AAUAUUUUGAAAUAUGCAAAACUUUUAAUAAAUUGUGUUAUUAAAAAAACUGCUCAGGUGGACUUUCCUGUUAUUUACUGAUUUAUACUUGAUUAAUGGAUUAGUAGGUUUUCUCUUUUUGGGAAUAUGAAAAACUGAACUGGCUAGAUGUAUCUCAGAUCAGGUGUCUAAAUUUUACAAUUCUUUUAAAGAGAGAAGUAAAUUGGUAUCCACUAACGAAUGUUAAAAUGUGUUUUUUCUUAUGCAACUCCCCAACAUUAGAGCACAAUAUCUUAGUCUGUGUGUGAAUCCUCGCAAUCCCAGUAACUGUUGUGUUUUUCUCAUUGUAUGAGUUUCAAUAGAAACAAAACCAGGCUGUUUCAUUUGCAAAAUAAAGCACACAUUCUUAGGGUAUUAUGCUUUGUUACUGGGUAAUUGGUGUAUGCCUUCACUUAUAAUGUGAUGUGGUCAUAUUUCAGUUACAUGCAAGCAACUUUUGUAUUCUGUUCUUUCUUAAUUUUGGAUGGUCCAUCAUCCAUGCCCUGGCUGCUCUACAGGGUGUAUCAGGACAGGAGGCAGAAGACUUACUUCUUGGUGGCCCAGAAUACAGUAUCAGUGAAGUGGAAGAAUUUAACCGAAAGAUAGGGCAGCAAUUAAAGAAGGAGGGAAUGCUGUGAUAUCUGUUGGAAUAGAAGAUGAUGCUACUGCCCAGUGCUUCCAGAAUCCUUCAUUUGAGUCUUGGGUCUGAAUCUACUGCGUCAUUGCCAAGUAUUCUGGGGUAAUGGAUCUUGUUUUGUUUACAUUUUGUUUUUCUCCAUAUUCCAAGCUCAUUUACUUGACCUUAGCUUUAAUAAACUGGAUGGCGGUCUCCUUCACAGUUGAUUUUAAAGUACUAUACUGUUCAUUACAUAAAAAGCUCUGAACAAUUUAGUCCCUUCCAGUAUUUGGUACUGUCUCUCCCCCAACACUCCUCAGUGUAAUCUUUAAUCCACAACCACUAAUUUGCUUAUGAAAGAACUGGUGAAGCAGCUUGCACAUGUAUACCAAAAAUAUAGAAUGCCGGCUAUAAAUGAAAAACCUUUCAAAAUACUUUUAAAACUCCAUUUUUAAACUUCACCUCUGCUUAAUUCCCACUUCUAUCAGUUUAUGAUUUACUUCUGGUUUAUGAAUGGAACUGCAUACACUUUGAAAGAUUUACACCAGAUAAUAGCCAUUGUUUGUUUUUUUUUUUUUUUCUGUUUUCUUUUUUUUGUCCAGUGAUGCCCUUUACCAUGCACCCUGGUCAAGUCUCAUGCAACUGACUGUGGUGCUGAAGAGAGAAGAUUUCUGAAGACCCUCUUGAAGUGGAGCUGCAAUUGGAUUAACACCACAACAGUAUGCUUGGUGAGAAUAUCCACAGGGGUCUGGGGAGGCUGUGACCUUGUGACCCUGAGACGUUGUUUUGUCAAUCAUCCUGACCAACUGGACCUUUAUGUGUUCUUCAACAGGGCCAUCUGACCAGCAGAUAUAUUUAAGGAGAAGGACCUUUCAAUUUUCCUCUUGUGUACUUUUUAAUUGUAUAUAUAUUUUUUCGUUUUCAUAAAGUUAUAUAUAUUUGUUAAGCAGUUUGGGCUUUAUUAGUAUUAAAAUAUGUUAGAGAAGUUAUUUGUGGAAUAAUUUUAAUGAUCAAAAUAGCAAAAAAUGUAACUUUAAAUUUUCUGUGCUCUGGGUAAAAUAUGUUAAAGCUAUAUGGUGAUUUUUUACAAUUUUUUUUUUGUACAUUUGAUAUGUUUUUUUAGGUGCAUUGUUCUCACAUUGUUCACUUUUGUUGUUCUCAUAACAUUUAUUCAAUAAAAUUUGCAUGAAAAGUGU